GUACAGAAGGACGUGCUCUGUAGAUUAUUCCAGCAGAUAAGUUUCUUUCUGAGAAACAAGCUCAACCAGGAGAUGUUGCCAUGAAAUCUGGACCUUUUAAGCAAGCAGCAGGUCUGUUUUAUCUGGUGAGAGCACAGCAUGAAGUGGGCUGCUGAGACUACUGGCAUCCAGCAUGACGCCCUCUACAGUCCCAGGCAAUGCAAAGCUCCUGAGUUCUUCCUGAUUUCUGAAGACACCAAGUGAGCUGGAAGUCACCAGCGUGCUCUCAACAUCAUCCUGUUGGGUCAUCACCAAGCAGGCAAGCUGUCAAAAUGAAGAUUGGCCAACUUCACUUAUGGGGAUUUAGCACAGUUUUCCAGAGUGGUUGCUGGAAGGUUUCACAUGACCUGACCCUCCCAAAGCCUCCCUGAGUGAACAGAGGAAAAGACAAGUCCUUCUGUGGAGCAUUUCAGAGCCAGAGCCUAC
rnacentral:lncRNA from 1 species